GGGGGCGUAGUUCAAUUGGUAGAGCACAUGCUUUGCACGCAUGAAGUUAUCGGUUCAAGCCCGUUCGCCUCCA
rnacentral:tRNA from 1 species